rnacentral:misc_RNA from 1 species
AACGCAUCUUGCGCUCUUUGGUAUUCCGAAGAGCAUGCCUGUUUGAGUGUCAUGAAACUCUCAACUACAAUCUUUCUUAAUUGAUGGGUUUGUAGCUUGGAUGUGAGUGCUGCUGGUGUCCUGGUUACAUUGGCUCACUUGAAAUUCAUUAGCUGAAUCCUCUUGCAUUGGUUCUACUCGACGUGAUAAGAUCUCCGUCGAGGACAGUGAUUCGUAAGAAUGGCUGGCCAGUAAUAGAGUUGAUACGCUUCUAAUUGGCGCAGACUUCGAGUGCUGGCAAUUAUUGACAACUUGGCCUCAAAUCAGGUAGGACUACCCACUGAACUUAA